GACGAACGCUGGCGGCGUGCUUAACACAUGCAAGUCGAACGGAAAGGCCCUGCUUUUGUGGGGUGCUCGAGUGGCGAACGGGUGAGUAACACGUGAGUAACCUGCCCUUGACUUUGGGAUAACUUCAGGAAACGGGGGCUAAUACCGGAUAGGAGCUCCUGCUGCAUGGUGGGGGUUGGAAAGUUUCGGCGGUUGGGGAUGGACUCGCGGCUUAUCAGCUUGUUGGUGGGGUAGUGGCUUACCAAGGCUUUGACGGGUAGCCGGCCUGAGAGGGUGACCGGCCACAUUGGGACUGAGAUACGGCACAGACUCCUACGGUAGGCAGCAGUGGGGAAUCUUGCACAAUGGGCGGAAGCCUGAUGCAGCAACGCCGCGUGCGGGAUGACGGCCUUCGGGUUGUAAACCGCUUUCGCCUGUGACGACGCGUGAGUGACGGUAAUGGGUAAAGAAGCACCGGCUAACUACGUG
rnacentral:rRNA from 1 species